GAUGAACGCUAGCGGCAGGCCUAAUACAUGCAAGUCGAGGGGCAGCGCGGUAGCAAUACUGGCGGCGACCGGCGCACGGGUGCGUAACACGUAUGCAACCUACCUUCAACUGGAGGAUAGCCCGGGGAAACUCGGAUUAAUACUCCAUAACACAGGGAUCCCGCAUGGGAAUAUUGUUAAAGCUACGGCGGUUGAAGAUGGGCAUGCGUUCGAUUAGCUAGUUGGUGUAGGUAACGGCUCACCAAGGCUACGAUCGAUAGGGGGUCUGAGAGGAUGAUCCCCCACACUGGUACUGAGAUACGGACCAGACUCCUACGGGAGCAGCAGUAGGGAAUAUUGGUCAAUGGGCGCAAGCCUGAACCAGCCAUGCCGCGUGCAGGAAGAAGGCCCUCUGGGUUGUAAACUGCUUUUGAUAGGGAACAAAUGCCACUUGCGAGUGGAGCUGAGUGUACCUAUAGAAUAAGCACCGGCUAACUCCGUGCCAGCAGCCGACGG
rnacentral:rRNA from 1 species